GACGAACGCUGGCGGCAUGCCUUACACAUGCAAGUCGAACGGCAGCGGGGGAGAAGCUUGCUUUUCCUGCCGGCGAGUGGCGAACGGGUGAGUAAUACAUCGGAACGUGCCCUGUAGUGGGGGAUAACUAGUCGAAAGAUUAGCUAAUACCGCAUACGACCUGAGGGUGAAAGUGGGGGACCGCAAGGCCUCAUGCUAUAGGAGCGGCCGAUGUCUGAUUAGCUAGUUGGUGGGGUAAAGGCCUACCAAGGCGACGAUCAGUAGCUGGUCUGAAGGGACGAUCAGCCACGCUGGGACUGAGACACGGCCCAGACUCCUACGGGAGGCAGCAGUGGGGAAUUUUGGACAAUGGGCGAAAGCCUGAUCCAGCAAUGCCGCGUGUGUGAAGAAGGCCUUCGGGUUGUAAAGCACUUUUGUCCGGAAAGAAAUGGCUCUGGUUAAUACCUGGGGUCGAUGACGGUACCGGAAGAAUAAGGACCGGCUAACUACGUGCCAGCCGCCGCGGUAA
rnacentral:rRNA from 1 species